rnacentral:rRNA from 1 species
UACGUAGGGACCGAGCGUUGUCCGGAUUCAUUGGGCGUAAAGAGCUCGUAGGCGGCCACUCAAGUCGAAUGUGAAACCUCGAGGCUUAACCUCGAGCCUGCAUUCGAUACUGGGCGGCUAGAGUCUGGUAGGGGGAUCUGGAAUUCCAGGUGUAGCGGUGAAAUGCGUAGAUAUCUGGAGGAACACCGGUGGCGAAGGCGGCAUCCUGGACCGACACUGACGCUGAGGAGCGAAAGCCAGGGGAGCAAACGGG